rnacentral:misc_RNA from 1 species
AAGAGUUAGGGUCCUAGUGGCCCAACCUCCAACCCUCUGUUGUUAUAACUAUCUUGUUGCUUUGGCGGGACCGUUCGGUCUCCGAGCGCGUCAACCCCCGGGUCGGCGAGCGCCCGCCAGAGUCCAACCAAACUCUUGUAUUAAACCAGUCGUCUGAGUACAAAAUUUUAAUUAAAUUA